rnacentral:lncRNA from 1 species
AACAAAUUAAUAAAGACACAAAAAGUAAAUGUACACUAAGAGGGAUGAUUUAAAAUGACAGUAUAAUGACUUAGCAUCAGAUUUAAAACCAUAAAUGAAAAGUUGUUUAUCAAUUAUGGCCAUGAUGAUAAAUAAUAUUUCUCACAUAUCAUAACAUCUCAUAUUUGUGCCUGCCUACACAAUUUUAUUAAAUACAGACAAGCCAUAGC